ensembl:lncRNA
AGGCAGUAGUGGAGAAGAGGAGAAGAGGAGAAGAGGCAGUAGUGGAGAAGAGGAGAAGAGGCAGUAGUGGAGAAGAGGAGAAGAGGCAGUAGUGGAGAAGAGGAGAAGAGGCAGUAGAGGAGAAGAGGAGAAGAGGCAGUAAAGGAGAAGAGGAGAAGAGGCAGUAGUGGAGAAGAGGAGAAGAGGCAGUAGUGGAGAAAAGGAGAAGAGGCAGUGGUGGAGAAGAGGAGAAGAGGCAGUAGUGGAGAAGAGGAGAAGAGGCAGUAGAGGAGAAGAGGAGAAGAGGCAGUAGUGGAGAAGAGGCAGUAGUGGAGAAGAGGAGAAGAGGCAGUAGUGGAGAAGAGGAGAAGAGGCAGUAGUGGAGAAGAGGAGAAGAGGCAGUAGUGGUGAAGAGGAGAAGAGGCAGUAGUGGAGAAGAAGAGAAGAGACAGUAGUGGAGAAGAUGAGAAGAGGAGAAGAGGCGGUAGAGGAGAAGAGGCAGUUGUGGAGAAGAGGCAGUAGUGGAGAAGAGGAGAAGAGGAGAAGAGGCGGUAGUGGAGUAGAGGAGAAGAGGCAGUAGAGGAGAAGAGGAGGAGGCAGUAGUGGAGAAGAGGAGAAGAGGCAGUAGUGGAGAAGAGGAGAAGAGACAGUAGUGGAGAAGAGGAGAAGAUGCAGUAGUGAAGAAGAGGAGAAGAGGCAGUAGAGGAGAAGAGGAGAAGAGGCAGUAGAGGAGAAGAGGCAGUAGUGGAGAAGAAGAAAAGAGUCAGAAGUGGAGAAGAGGAGAAGAGGCAGUAGAGGAGAAGAGGCAGUAGAGGAGAAGAGGAGGAGGCAGUAGUGGAGAAGAGGAGAAGAGGCAGUAGAGGAGAAGAGGAGAAGAGGCAGUAGUGGAGAAGAGGAGAAGAGGCAGUAGUGGAGAAGAGGAGAAGAUGCAGUAGUGAAGAAGAGGAGAAGAGGCAGUAGAGGAGAAGAGGAGAAGAGGCAGUAGAGGAGAAGAGGCAGUAGAGGAGAAGAGGAGAAGAGGCAGUAGUGGAGAAGAGGAGAAGAGGCAGUAGUGGAGAAGAAGAGAAGAGUCAGUAGUGGAGAAGAGGAGAAGAGGCAGUAGAGGAGAAGAGGCAGUAGUGGAGAAGAGGCAGUAGUGGAGAAGAGGAGAAGAUGCAGUAGUGAAGAAGAGGAGAAGAGGCAGUAGAGGAGAAGAGGAGGAGGCAGUAGUGGAGAAGAGGAGAAGAUGCAGUAGUGAAGAAGAGGAGAAGAGGCAGUAGAGGAGAAGAGGAGAAGGCAGUAGUGGAGAAGAGGAGAAGAGGCAGUAGAGGAGAAGAGGAGAAGAGGCAGUAGAGGAGAAGAGGAGAAGAGGCAGUAGUGGAGAAGAGGCAGUAGAGGAGAAGAGGAGAAGAGGCAGUAGUGGAGAAGGGGAGAAGAGGCAGUAGUGGAGGAGAAGAUGCAGUAGAGGAGAAGAGGAGAAGAGGCAGUAGUGGAGAAGAGGAGAAGAGGCAGUAGUGGAGAAGAGGCAGUAGAGGAGAAAAGGAGAAGAUGCAGUAGAGGAGAAGAGGAGAAGAGGCAGUAGAGGAGAAGAGGAGAAGAGGCAGUAGUGGAGAAGAGGAGAAGAGGCAGUAGUGGAGAAGAGGAGAAGAGGCAGUAGUGGAGAAGAGGAGAAGAGGCAGUAGAGGAGAAGAGGCAUUACUUUCACUAAAGACAAUUAUUUGCGUUUCCAAGACUACAUUACAGUUGAAUAUGUGCUACAUAACCCACAACAUAUUGUAAUGUAUUAACACAUGAAUCUGAUAAUCUGUGUUGCAUCUGAAUUAUGUUCAGGGCAGAGGAAAACAUACUGAAGCACUCAGCCAGAUCUCAACAAAAUCAGGCCACAAAGUGACUUUUGUGCUUCUAAACUUGUCUUUUCAAUGUGAUUUUCAUAUUCUGAUAGCAGAAGUCGCAUGUAAGUGUCAAGUGUAGACAUGACCUAAGUAGCCCAGAGAGCUUUUGUCAUGUAGGACAGUGUUCUCCAACUGGCGGCUGAAUUUGGGCCGUGUACUGUUUUAUUUUAAAAUCUCUGAAUAUUAUGUUGUUGAACAGAAAUGUAUAAACUGUAAGAUCACCAGGCAAUCAGCUCCAAGUGAUUUUCAUUUAGGAAAUCUGUUCCCAAGUAUUCUCAUGCGUAAUAGAGAGACAUGUGUCUGUGUGUGUCUGUGUGUCUGUGUGUCUGUGUGUGUGUG